UGAGCAACCUGCCCUUAGCUUUGGGAUAAUCCUCGGAAACGGGGCUAAUACCGAAUGUUCACUGCCGGGCGCAUGUUUGGUGGUGGAAAGUUUUUCGGCUGGGGAUGGGCUCGCGGCCUAUCAGCUUGUUGGUGGGGUGAUGGCCUACCAAGGCGAUGACGGGUAGCCGGCCUGAGAGGGCGACCGGCCACACUGGGACUGAGACACGGCCCAGACUCCUACGGGAGGCA
rnacentral:rRNA from 1 species